rnacentral:lncRNA from 1 species
ACACUCCAACGUGGGUGAUAGAGUGAGACCCAUCUCUAGAAAAGAAAAGCUCCAGAGUUGAUCCAUCCUGGUUCUGUGUACCAGGGGGUACAAGGUACAGGUACAGAUGCCCUGCACGGAUCAUCCUGAACCAAUCACCAGGGUGAGAGAGACUGAGUGUGCUGACUUGGUGAGCCCAGGAUGGAAUAAGCCUCACCGGAUGCAUCUGGGCUGAGAGUGGGAUGGGGCAGAUCCUCCCGCAAAAAUCAGACAAGCUAUUAUUGGAGAGGAAGCAGAUGCCAGGAGGCCAAACUGAUGUCCCUUGCAAGAAAUCUGCAGGGGCCCACCCCAAGGCAACAGCUGUGGGAGGACUGCCCCAGGAUUGGAGCACACAGACCCAAGGAAACUUGGCCCAAAUGUGCUUUUGUCUUGGAAUUUCAUCUUCACAGGGUAUCUGUGUGAAGGAGAGACAUGGCGAGGCUCAAGCUUGGAAGAUGUACAUGUCAUUCUGGAAACACUUGUGCAUCAUUAUAUUAGUCUGUUCUAACGCUGCUGUAAAGAACUGCCUGAGACUGGGUAAUUUAUAAAGGAAAGAGGUUUAAUUGACUCACAGUUCCACAUGGCUGGGGAGGCCUCAGGAAACUUACAAUCGUGGUGGAAGGGGAAGCAAACAUGUCCUUCUUCACAUGGCAGCAGGAGAGAGAAGAAUAAGACCUGAGUGAAGGGGGAAGCCCGUUAUAAAAUCAUCAGACCUUGUGAGAACUCACUCAGUAUCACAAGAAUAGCAUGGGGGAAACAGGCCCCUUGAUUAAAUUACCUCCCACCGAGUCCCUCCCACAACAUGUGGGGAUUAUGGGAACUACAACUCAAGAUGAGAUUUGGGUGGGGACACAGCCAAACCAUAUCAAUCAUGUAUGCUGAGAAAAACCAUUUUCAUUAGCUUCCCCUCGACCUUCCAUGUUGCUGCAAAUGAACCCACAGUUCCAUCUCGAAAAUUCAACUGGAACUAUUCCCUUUGUUAAAUAAACUUCAUUUAAGGGCUGACUGCCUUGGGCCCUGAGAAAAUGCAUCUUUGCUUUUGCUGAGACCAAUCUAGGUCAGCAAAGCAAAAGCUUUGUAUUUUUUAGAGACAUGAACUGCAGCUUAGAUGAAGGCCAGGGGAAGCAUCCACUCUGAAGGUGCAAAGUGGAGAACCGCAAGUAGUCACAGUGGGAGCAGGCUCCAGAGGCCUCCUGCUGCCUCCCUUGCCCCUCAGCCAGGAAAGCCCUUUGAAACAGAGCAUCCUGCUUUUGCAAGCCGCACCAGCAAUAUCUUCAGGGCAGUCUCAGAGUGCUCCCUGCUGCCUGGGGCCUGAAGCAGUGCUUUCCAAAAUAGUUUUUGCAGAGGCUGCUAGUUUGUUCAGGAGGGAGAACAGACAUGGGGGAACUGAGGUCUCUGUUCUCCACCCCUGUAUCCUUUUGCUAGCAGGAGACAGCCAUGCAGUAGCCACCUCCAAAACGGUCCCCAGUGACCCCUGCCUCUUGGUAUUGUGGUCCUCUCUCACAAGGAGUAGGACUGGCUCAUGCAACAAUAGAACAUUGCAGAAAUGGUGGUGUCUUUGGAGAGCCGUUCAUGAAAAACACUGCAGCUCCUGCCUUGCUAGCUCUUGGAUCAUCUACUCUAGAGAAGCCAGCUGAAGAUAUACUCAAAACCAUCCUCAAAUCAUGGCAAGGAACUUAGGACCCCUACCCACAUCCCUGUGUAGGGGCCAUCCUGGGACUAUCCCCACACACUGUAAAUGCUGCAUGAACACUUACCAGAUUCACUUGAAUUUCUGUCUUUCUGGAUGAGAGAAAUCCUGGGAGCACAGCUGUGCUUCCUUCUCCCAGAAAUUUCCUUCCUCAACUCAAGAUGAGAAAUACAGCUUUUUAAUUAACAGAAACCAUCUCAACCCAGAUCUCAAGUCAUUUGAUGUGAUUCGGGGACUGCUUCUUGCAGAGACAACAGUUACUUGCAAAAAAAGCCCACAAGUCAAUGCAAUUGAUUUCAGGAAAUUGGGUCCAGCAAGCAGCCUCCACAUCCAGGAGGGACCUCACUGCAGCACGGAUGGGCGGCACGUGUCUGCUCAGCCAGCUCACUGUCCCUGCUGAGCCACAGGCUUCCAGCCACCUGCUGAUCAGCAAGGACUUCACAUGUGUCCUCUACCUGCCUGCCACUCUGCCGAGGUGUCCAACACAGAGCCCCAGUCCCCAAGAGGCUUUCAUUCAGCUAAGCAAGAUGUUCAUGCAGAAAGAUCAGCUACACUCAAAUCUGAAUUCACCCAGGAUUGGUUAGCGUGUCAUUGACUAAAUGGUCUUGGAGAACUGAGAAAGGGAUCUUUGUUCAGGGAAAAUAUACCACAACCUCCCCUCAGGGCACAGGAACCUCAAGGAGUUCAUGGUCUAACGGGGAGAGCUUUCCACAGAGGGAAUUUCAAAGGGUGUGCAGGGAGUGGCUGGAAAGGAAGAAAGGAUAAUCCAAGUUGUUGAGUCUUCAUAAACAAACAGCCCAGAGAGACAGGGGUGACAAGGAGUCUGUCAUGACCCAGCAUGAAGUGUAAGAUGGAGUGACGAGACAUAAGUUUGGGGCACAAGCCAUGGGGAUGUUGGUAGAUAAUUCAUAAGUGUCUCACAUUUCUGCAUAUCUCAUGAGCAGAGGCACUGUUGGCCCUUGUGGUAGACUAUCUUUUCAAGGCUAUUUAUACAGUGAACAGCUUUGGAAGAUAGAGACAGAUUUGCAAAGGGCAGGCACACUGACAGCCCACUAUUUAAAAAGUAAGGGACACUAAGAGUUCCUUGCCUGGAACGAAACCCCUACAUGGGCAGUUUCCCUCAACCCUCUGCAUUGCCCUGGGGAAUUGGAACUCAGAGACUCAGUACACAAAAAUGCUGGUACUCUACUGCUUUUGCUGUGAGAAUAAAGCCCUUUGUUUCUGACCCAGGAGCCUUGUGUCUUCCGUCAGCAUCCAUGAAACUGUGGCAGACUCACCUGUCAGCUUGCAAGAAGGGUAUAAUCACAGAUCUGUCUCAGUUCCUGAUAGGAGAACCCUGAAUUCCAGGUUUUAUCCUGCUGGUCCUUGAGUGGAGAAAUUACAUUUGCCUUUAGCUGUAGAAGGGU